UGUCAAAUGGUUUGCUCCAUGCCAUCGUAUUUACACACAUACAGAUGUGUGCCUGGAGUGGCCUUCCUUGUACUAGUAGUUCAAGAACUCAAUUUCUGGGAAUUCUCUGGUGGUCCAGUGGUUAAGACUCUGGACUCUCACUGCCAAAGGCCCAGUGGAGAGAAGUGAAUUGGGUCUUGGAGCCACAGAUCAAAGUUCAUAUCCAGGCUUAGAAGAGUGCCGGACUCAUAAUAGACACUUGAUGAAGGUUGAAUGGAUAAAUGCAUUAAAGAUAAUUGGACAAUAGAAAUUUCACAGAGAUUAACACAUAAGGGGACCCUAAUCUAGCCUGGAUACCCUGAACUGAGUUGGAGUUCAUGAUUCUUAACUUACCUGUGGAUCUUUUAAAAACCACUCAUACAUGACCCCACUCCAUUCCAAUAAAAUCAAUUGGAAUGAUUGAUUGGGGUUGGUUGAGGCUGAGAU
ensembl:lncRNA